CCCCCCUCUCCCUCCAACACACGCAUAAACAAACACACACUGCCUCGUCUUUGCCUUUCCACUCUCCUUCCUCUGCACCCAAACAACCGGCACACGUGCCCGGGUGUCUGUGCGUACGAGCAGAGACCGGAACAGAACAGAAAACACAGACGAACAAAGAGUGUCACGCACCGACGCGCACGCGUAUGAAGGGACGACGCAGGCGACACCAACGCACACGUGCGCGCAACACAUCGGACGCGCUGCCGACGCAUAAGAGGAAUAAGCGCAGAUAAAACUCACUGAAACGCGCGUAGUUCAGAGAGGAGGCUGCCUUUUGGGGGUAGGGAUACAGCUGCUGCUGCUAUCCGUUCACGCACGAUGGACUUGAAACAGAGCGAUCUCGAUGACUUGGCGACCAUCGAUCUCUCAGACAGUUUCAUCGAGGCGAACCUCGACAUCAGCAAGCGGUUUGACGAGUGCACCUCGCGCACCACUCUGCAGGAUGUAUGCGCCGCCUUUGUGCAGUCCUUCCUGGUCGAGAAGGGAGAGUGGAUCUCCUCGCUGCACGUCUCGCUGAAGGAGUGCCUGACUGUGCUGGAGGGGAUGGAGACUGUGCUGGAGAAGUUCAUUGAGCAACUUGAUCGAAUUCAGCAUGACAUUGGCGAAGUGCGCGAGACGCUGGCGAAGACGUCCAUUGGGCUAAACAACGCGCGCGUGACGGAGCGGGUCCUGUGGACCGCGAUCUCGCACCUUGUUGUACCACCGGAGCUUGUGCAGAUCGUGACGCGGUCGAAUGAUGGGGAGCUGGGAAUGCUUUUUCAGCUGACUCUGCGCGAGCUACUCAAGUACUUGAACUACCGAAAAGGCACGUGGCAGCGGCAGCAGCCAGCCCCUGCGGAGGUCCGCGGAUCCGCCGCUUCACCUGACACCCGUAGCGGUACCGCCCCCCAGCGCGCCUCUCGAGAGCUGCGUCUGCCGCUGACGGAGUUCACCAUCUACACGGAGCUGCUGAGUAUUUUGGACGGUCUCACCGUGUUUGCGUGCAUCAAGGUCCGCGACUUUCUCUCGCGCAAGCUGUACGUGCUGACGGUGCCCAACACGAAUGUGUGCAUCCAGCAGGAGAACAGUCUCAAGCAGCACGCCGUCUUUGUGCACUUCCUGCGCUCCGCCCCGCCGUUGCUGCGGCACACCUUCGCGCGCGGCACGGAAGGCAAUCAUCAGCUAACUUUGGUGCCCUACCGUAUCACCCGUGCCAUCUACAACGAGUUCAAGCAGCAGUACUGCCUCAUCAUGUCCUCGCUUUACCUCCGCAAAUUUCAAGGCUACAUCCUGACCCUGAAUGCUAUGGAGUACAGCACCGCAACGAGUGCCUCCUUCGGCUCCGUGGGCAGCAACUUGCUGAGCGGCUUCACGAGGAUACAGCCAGCUGCGCCAGAGACCGUGUACACGCUGCCAAGCUUGACAGCUGUGCAUAGCAGAGGAUCCCCUGUCGACGACAGGGUGUUCCAACUUGGCCAACGAGGCGAGAUCUUCGCGCGGGUCUUCGCACCGCCGCUGAUCCCAACGCUGGAGAAGGCAGCCGGUCGCUGGCACUCGUACGAGGAGACGCUGCGCUCCGUGCUGCACCUGCUCAGCGACACGGUCACCCACGAGUACCUCUUCACGUUCGAGUUUUUCGCCGGCGACACGUCCGUCCACGUUGACGUCUUCCAGCCAACGCUGCAGUUCAUUGUCGACUACGUCUCCGAGGCAAUGCUGCUGCAGUCCUCCGGAAAUGUGCGACAACUGAUGAAUCAGCACCCCCACGCGAGCGUGAACCAGCGCGCGAAAGAUGACACCUACGGCUUGUUGAUACUGAUUCGCAUCUGCCACGAGUACCGCUUUUACAUGAAGACGGUCCGCAAGCUCGCGUGCCUAGACACGUUCUUCGAGUCACUGCUAGUUCUCCUGUGGCCCACCUUCAAGCGCACCUUCGACGCGCAACUCGUCGCACUCCGCUGCGCACAGGUUCCGUCGCUUGCGGCGGUCACCGCGCACAUGCGCUCGGUCGCGGAGCGCAUCGCAACGGUGCACCCACUUGUGCGCAAUUAUACGGCGCUCUCUUGCUCUCUCCUGGGCAUCGCUCUCGGGGCGGCGCUGGCGGAAGAGCGAAUGGGGACGGCACAGUCUGAACAGACGAAUCCGGCGCAGCAGUCGGACAGGUCGUCCUCUACAACGUCGUCAUCGUCUUCGGCAGGGCACAUCGCAAACGCAGGUAACAGUGGUGGUGGUCGUAGCAGCCCGCGACCAGCAGCUCCACGCAACUCAUCUAGCCUAGACGUCAGUCGCAGCACGUUCACCGCCCUCAUGGACAACGCCGCUUCGCGUGCCUGGGACGAUCCAGAGCACGCCGAGCUGCGUCGGGUUGCGGUGCAGAUGAUGGCGGCGGAGGAUGAGGAGGACGCGGCGGAGAGUCAGAGCCGUUUCGUCGCGCUUGUCGGCAACAUCGACUUUUUGCGCGUGCAGGUAAUUCACUAUGCCGAGGAAAUCGUCAAGCACAUCCUCGCGCACGCUGACUUGACGGCCUCGUCGCAGUCUGUUGGGGGCGGCGGCGAUGCUGCGGUGAUGCGCGACGCAUACGUGGUGAACCAACUCCAUUACAUGUUGACUGCCGCGCAGUGCGCCGUCUUCCCUGGCGAGGAACGGCGCGGCACCACGUUGGCAGACCGCUUCGACUUCAGCCAUCUACGCAGCAUGUACAGCACGUACCGCACACGUUUGCUUGAGGAGCUGCUGGACAUGCGCUUGUACGACUUCAUCAACGUUGCGCGAAGUGGGGAGGAGGUGCCACCGCCCGUGCUGCUGCGCAUCGCGGACCACUUCCUGCUCUCCUGGAAGCCGGCGCUCGAUGCAAUGCGGACGCAAGUGAUGUCUCUCAUGUACGACGCGCAGCUGGCGCACGAGGUGAUCGCGCAGGCUUGCAUGGAGUGCCUUGUGUGCAACACGCGCUUUCUUAAGAUCAUCUCCGCUGCAGUGGAGUCGCAUCCGUCGGCGUUUGCGCAGCGGCCAAUCCGCACGUUGAUCGUGUCGAACCAGCACAUCCUUCUGCACAUGCGGAACUACUCGAUGCACGUGGACCCCUCCAGCCUGCAGCGGUGACACACCCCGACACAGCAGUCGCUCUCUGCAUCACCGCGCUUGUGCGCUUUGUUUGUGUCAGCGUGAUAGGGGUGAUCCUCACGCAACGCAUGCCUCGGCGGAGGAAAAGGGGGAGAGGGGAGCGCGGCGUCACAUCUGCUGCCCCCCCCCCCCCGCCGACGAGUGCGAAGGCAUCUUGAGGGAGGCGUACGACGGUACGCGCGCUGGUGUGUCUUCCCCGAGCCCCCUUUCGCUGCCCCCUCGCCCCACACGGAAACCGUUGCAUCUCGUCGCUUGACCUGCGCUGUACCUUUCCUCUGGGCCGCCUCAUUUUCUGUCUCGGUUUCGCUAUCGCUGUUGCAACGACUAGAUGGUACCCG
rnacentral:misc_RNA from 1 species